CCUCGGGGGUUCUCGGGGAACUUGCUGGUCUUGCGGUGGGCCAGCUUCCGUUCCACCUCCAUCAUGCUCUUCGUCGACGGUUCUGUGGUGCGUGGACCUCGAGAGUCAUUGACUGAAGCCGGGGAGGAUGAGGUACGAGGUGGGGAGUGGGCGUUGUGUGGAGGACAGUGGGGGACAGGCAGGUUCUGGGUUGGGGAAUUAUGCAUUCGGGAAGGGGGAUGGGGGGCACCCUGGGCGAUGUGGGUGGUGCUUGAGGGAGAAGGCCGUCUUGGGAGCAGGUGUGCCCAUGGCUCCGAUAGGGGUGGAGGUCUGGAGGGGUGCUCCUGCAAACGCCAUGCUGAGAGGCUCUGGGUCCUGGGUCGACUGGGGGGGCUCAGUGGAGAGUGGGACU
rnacentral:lncRNA from 1 species